rnacentral:rRNA from 1 species
CCCUUAGAUGUUCUGGGCCGCACGCGCGCUACACUGAGCCCUUCAUCGAGUUUACAACCUUGGCCGGUAGGUCUGGGUAAUCUUCUCAAAGGGGCUCGUGCUGGGGAUAGAUUAUUGUAAUUUUUAAUCUUCAACGAGGAAUUCCUAGUAAACGCAAGUCAACAGCUUGCAUUGAUUACGUCCCUGCCCUUUGUACACACCGCCCGUCGCUACUACCGAUUGAAUGGCAUAGUGAGCCCGAGGGACUGUUGCACCUAGAGGGUUUUCUCUCCAGGAGCAGCCGGGAACUCGGUCAAACUUGAUCAUUUAGAGGAAGUAAAAGUCGUAACA